rnacentral:rRNA from 1 species
GAUUAACGCUGGCGGCGUGCCUAACACAUGCAAGUCGAGCGGCAGCGAGUUUUACACUGAAUUCUGGAAGCUUCUAGUUGAAAGAGAAGAUUUAUUCAAGAAUUUUGUGUAAAAUGUCGGCGAGCGGCGGACGGCUGAGUAACGCGUGGGAACGUACCCCAAAGUGAGGGAUAACGCAUCGAAAGGUGUGCUAAUACCGCAUAUGGUCUUCGGAUUAAAGCCUUCGGGCGCUUUGGGAACGGCCUGCGUAAGAUUAGAUAGUUGGUGGGGUAAUGGCCCACCAAGUCGACGAUCUUUAACUGGUUUGAGAGGAUGAUCAGUCAGACUGGAACUGAGACACGGUCCAGACUCCUACGGGAGGCAGCAGUGAGGAAUCUUCCACAAUGGGCGAAAGCCUGAUGGAGCAACGCCGCGUGCAGGAUGAAGGCCUUCGGGUUGUAAACUGCUUUUAUAAGUGAGGAUUAUGACAGUAACUUAUGAAUAAGGAUCGGCUAACUACGUGCCAGCAGCCGCGGUCAUACGUAGGAUCCGAGCGUUAUCCGGAGUGACUGGGCGUAAAGAGUUGCGUAGGUGGUUUAAUAAGCGAAUAGUGAAAUCUGGUGGCUCAACCAUUCAGACUAUUAUUCGAACUGUUAAACUCGAGAGCAGAAGAGGUAGCUGGAAUUUCUAGUGUAGGAGUGAAAUCCGUAGAUAUUAGAAGGAACACCGAUGGCGUAGGCAGGCUACUGGGCUGUUUCUGACACUGAGGCACGAAAGCGUGGGGAGCGAACCGGAUUAGAUACCCGGGUAGUCCACGCCGUAAACGAUGGAUACUAGCUGUUUGGGGUAUCGACCCCCUGAGUAGCGAAGCUAACGCGUUAAGUAUCCCGCCUGUGGAGUACGAUCGCAAGAUUAAAACAUAAAGGAAUUGACGGGGACCCGCACAAGCGGUGGAUCAUGUUCUUUAAUUCGAUGAUAACCGAUAAACCUUACCAGGUCUUGACAUCCUUGGAAUCUUUCAGAAAUGAGAGAGUGCUUUUUAAGAGCCAAGUGACAGGUGAUGCAUGGCCGUCGUCAGCUCGUGUCGUGAGAUGUUUGGUUAAGUCCAUCAACGAGCGCAACCCUUGUCAGUAGUUGUAUUUUUCUACUGAGACUGCCCCGGUAACGGGGAGGAAGGAGGGGAUGACGUCAGGUCAGUAUUUCCCUUACGUCCUGGGCUGGAAACGUGAUACAAUGGCUAGUACAAUGCGCAGCGAAGCCGCGAGGUGAAGCAAAUCGCAUCAAAGCUAGUCCCAGUUCGGAUUGUAGGCUGAAACUCGCCUGCAUGAAGUCGGAAUCGCUAGUAAUCGCAGAUCAGCAUGCUGCGGUGAAUACGUUCCCGGGUCU